AUACUUACCUGGCAAGGGAGAUACCAUGAUCACAAAGGUGGUUUUCCCAGGGAGAGAAGGUUUAGCCAUUUCAUUCGAGGUAUGCUCACCCCUGAGAUUUCCCUAAUUCAGGAAAUUUGACUGCAUAAUUUGUGGUAGUAGGGGACUGUGGUGGCACUCUUCCCAA
ensembl:snRNA U1 U1 spliceosomal RNA